rnacentral:lncRNA from 1 species
CAAUAAAUAAGCAGCAACUUACCAGUCUCCUUCUUCACCUCAGCAGAGGCAGCUGGGUCAGCAGUUACAGUGCAGUACAGCAAGAAUGCUGUGAGAGAGGGGCCAGCCAAUUACCUAUCACUUCCAUAUCUGUGGCAAGCAGUACAGCCCAGACUUGGAAAAAUCAUCAAAGCUGUACAUAAACAGGGAAAAAUACAUAUAGCUGGGAUUUCCCCUCCUGUGCACCAGUGAUGUUAUUCCCGAUGAUUGUUG